rnacentral:misc_RNA from 1 species
ACUACAGGACCAUCUUGCUUAGCCCUGUACAGGACCCAAAACCACAUGACAGCACACAAGCCCUUCCCUGUAACAGUAUGCCAUCGCUUUGGCUGAUGCAAAGUCAAGCCCUUGUAAGUGUAGCCCUCUCCAUGUCCUCCUGCCAUCCCUCUGCGCGAAAACCCAAUACUAAAAUGAUCGAACGGCCUAUGAGGUAAGCUC